AGAGAGUGUCAGAAAACGCCUAUGUCAGAAAGGCCCCUUUGCUCUCAGCCAUGCCCUCCAUUGCUCUAGAGGUGGAAGGCACAAGGCACUGGUUCUGGAUCCACCCCUCAAUGGGCGACAAACCUCAUCUUGUCCUGCUUCCAGCUCUUUAGGAAGUGGAGAAAAAACUCCCUUUCCACAGUGCUCUUACAGCGUCCUGGGAACAUCUCAUACCAAGGAGCAGGAGCAGACAAUAGGCUUUUUACAAACUGCCAUUGUGCACUGGGUCAGAGAGAGUCAGAAUGCACCUAUGUCAGAAAGGGCCCUUUGCUCGCAGCCGUGCCCUCCAUUGCUCUAGAGUUGGAAGGCACAAAGCACUGCCUCCAUCCUUUAAUGGGAGACAAGCCAUAAACUGUCUUGCCUCCACCUCUUUAGGAAGCUGACAAACAACUCGCUUGCCACAGUCCUGUUACAGCAGACCGGGAACUUCUCAUACAAAGGCAGCUCAAAUGGCAUUUCUUCCCAGCCCUUAACUCGCAGCUUUAGAACUUCUGCUUCUGCCGCAAUUCCAAGUGGCCAACCCAGCUCAGACGAAAUGCCUACAUCUUCCCCUUAAGCACCUGGGCUGAGUCACAAAGGAUUGUGCAACCAUGUGUUUAGCAGGAGAGAGACAAUAUGCUUUCCACCAACCACAGUAGACCACUGGUGGAGAGAGUGUCAGAAAACACCUAUGUCAGAAAGGCCCCUUUGCUCUCAGCCAUGCCCUCCAUUCCUCUAGAGGUGGAAGGCACAAGGCACUGGUUCUGGAUCCACCCCUCAAUGGGCGACAAACCACAUCUUGUCCUGCUUCCAGCUCUUUUUGAAGUGGAGAAAAAACUCCCUUUCCACAGUGCUCUUACAGCGUCCUGGGAACAUCUCAUACCAAGGAGGCUGAACGCCGUUUCUUUUCAGCACUUCACUCGCCAGUCUGGGACAUCUGCAUCCUGCACAUUUCCACCUUGCCAACCUGGCUCAGACGAAAUGCCUACAUCUUCCCCUUGAGCAAUGGGGAUGAGGCCCGGAUGAUUGUGGUUCCACAUGCUGAGGAGGAGAGAGACAAUAGGCUUUUUUUCUUUCUUUCUUUCUUUUUUUUUAUUUUUAUUUUUUAUUAUUUUUUUUAUUUUUUUUAUUAAUGUUAUGAUAGAUUACAAGCUUGUGAGAUUUCAGUUGUACAUUUUUAUUAGUCAUGUUGUGGGUAC
rnacentral:lncRNA from 1 species